UACAGGUAGGUUAUGAACACCCGAUAUCUAGGAAAAUCAUCCAUGUUACAGUUUUUAGAUUACAAGUCAUUCAGAUUAUACUUGUAUUAUUAAAUUCAGAAUAUUUUAUAGUGAGCACUUAUCAAUACCCGAUCAUGUUAAUUUAAUAUCAAUAUCAGUGUCAUUCAGUUGAGAGUAACAAUUAGCACUGAGUGAACACAGGGAUGCCGGCUCCCCCC
rnacentral:lncRNA from 1 species